rnacentral:rRNA from 1 species
CCUACGGGAGGCAGCAGUAAGGAAUAUUGGUCAAUGGACGCAAGUCUGAACCAGCCAUGCCGCGUGAAGGAUUAAGGUCCUCUGGAUUGUAAACUUCUUUUAUCUGGGACGAAAAAAGGCGAUUCUUCGUCACUUGACGGUACCAGAUGAAUAAGCACCGGCUAACUCCGUGCCGGCAGCCGCGGUAAUACGGAGGGUGCAAGCGUUAUCCGGAUUCACUGGGUUUAAAGGGUGCGUAGGCGGGCAGGUAAGUCAGUGGUGAAAUCCUAGAGCUUAACUCUAGAACUGCCAUUGAUACUAUCUGUCUUGAAUAUUGUGGAGGUAAGCGGAAUAUGUCAUGUAGCGGUGAAAUGCUUAGAUAUGACAUAGAACACCUAUUGCGAAGGCAGCUUACUACGCAUAUAUUGACGCUGAGGCACGAAAGCGUGGGGAUCAAACAGGAUUAGAUACCCUGGUAGUCCACGCCCUAAACGAUGAUUACUCGACAUUUGUGAUACACUAUAAGUGUCUGAGCGAAAGCAUUAAGUAAUCCACCUGGGAAGUACGACCGCAAGGUUGAAACUUAAAUGAAAUUGACGG